GAUGAACGCUAGCGGCAGGCCUAACACAUGCAAGUCGAGGGGCAGCGGGAUUGAAGCUUGCUUCAAUCGCCGGCGACCGGCGCACGGGUGCGUAACGCGUAUGCAACCUACCCAGAACAGGGGGAUAACACUGAGAAAUUGGUACUAAUAUCCCAUAACAUCAUAAGGGGCAUCCCUUUUGGUUGAAAACUCCGGUGGUUCUGGAUGGGCAUGCGUUGUAUUAGCUAGUUGGUGAGGUAACGGCUCACCAAGGCAACGAUACAUAGGGGGACUGAGAGGUUAACCCCCCACAUUGGUACUGAGACACGGACCAA
rnacentral:rRNA from 1 species